rnacentral:misc_RNA from 1 species
GAGCAAUGUCAUAUUUGUCAUGUAAGUCCAAGGAAUUCUGCAAAGGAUGCUGUCCUCUAAAAUAAAUUAGUUGAGCAAUAAACCAAAUUUGGCAUUAAUAUGAGCUGAUGUUUUGUGACUUACAUUCUCAUUGUAAUGAGGUUAAUUUGGAAAAUGUGGGACAAAAAAUGCACUCCUGCUCUUGAUAGACAAUUUUUUGAGGAAGAUGAGAAUAAAAUGAGAUACUUUAUGCAGGGUGGAAAAUAUAUUUUUAUUGUGUACGGCUUUCACAACACAUCCUUAAACAUGUAGCCUUUGUUGGUUUCGUUUGGAAUUUGUGUUGAUCUUAUUUAUAUCUAGUUGAGGAAUAUGAAUCUUCUUUGUUAUUGACCCUUUU